GGUAAAAAUAUAAUAACGUCGCAUUCGUAAUGCGAAGGUCGUAGGUUCGACUCCUAU
rnacentral:tRNA from 1 species